UCCCUGCUGGCUCAGACAGUAAAGCGUUUGCCUACAAUGCAGAAGACCCGGGUUCAAUCCCUGGGUCGGGAA
rnacentral:tRNA from 1 species